AUAAUUUUCACUGAAGUGUAAUAUCUAUUCUUAUUAGUUUAAUAUUUGAUAUAUGUGGACCAUGUGCCAACCUCAAUAUUAAAUUAAUUUUUUGUGGGGGAGUGUCCACGCACGGUAGCUUGCUGCUAGGGUUCUGUCACGUCGCCCUUGCGCUGCACUACUUAUAACACACUGAAUUUUAG
rnacentral:snRNA from 1 species